UUGGGGAUUGGGUCAGGCCAGU
rnacentral:miRNA from 1 species